rnacentral:rRNA from 1 species
AUGGGGGCGGGAGGGGCGUGGGCCAAGGGGCCGCCCGCGGCGGAGCGCUGUGCCAGGCGCGGCGGCAGGGGACCCGUGGAGGACGGGGCGCGCGUGCAGUGGGUGUUCGUCAGCUGCCCCGGGGUGGGCAAGGCCACCUACGCCGGCCGCCUAUCGCGGCUCCACGGCGUGCCCCACAUCAACACCGGAGCUCUCCUCCGAAAGCCCCCUCUGCAGCGCGCCGCCACCAUCAGCCCCACCCACCGCGCGCCGCCACCAUCAGCCCCCGCCGUCGGCCAACCCCCCGCCGUGGAGCGCCGCCACCGCCUACCCUCCUCCCAUCGGGACCCCCCUGGAUCCAAAAAUCCAUCCACCCAGUCCUCGCCGCGAUUUCUAAAUCGAACCUACCGGCAGCCGGCGUACUGGCGGGGUGUGGGGAGAGAUCCAGAUGGUGACGGCGGACCAGAGGUCGGAGGCAGCGAGGUCCGACAGAGAAGGGCGAGGUGCGGCAGAGGAGGCGAGGGGUGGGCUGGUGUUGGCGACGAACAGCGGCUGGGUCGGGCGCUCGGUGAGGCAGAGGCGCGGGGGCACAGCUGCGCAGGGAGGCUGCCACCGCCGAGACAACCCCUCAGCACGCCAAUGCCCGCGGGCCACAGACGCGGCGGCCUUGACAUCUCAUCGAUGACGCACAUCGGCGUGCUGCUUGAGCGUGAGGGCAAGGAAAACAUCGAGCAAGCGGUCAUCCGGAAGGCGGCGGCGCAGAGCCUCGUGGAGCAUGCAGAGGAGGAGAUGCAUCUGAAACGCCUUACCAUGAGCAGACUGCCGAAAUUCUUCAUAGAGGCCUCCACUGACUGA